rnacentral:rRNA from 1 species
CUGAAUUAAAAAAAAUAAAAUUUAGAGAGCCCGAAGUAAGAAUAUCUAACUAAAAACUUUAUAUUAGAACAUAAAUACGAAUAAUGUGGCAUAAUUAUGUUGCUAUUUUUAGUUAGGAGUGAAAGGCUAUUCAAUUCUUACUGAUAGCUGGAUGAAACUUUAAAUAUAUUAAGUAUAGUAUAGACAAAUAAAAAGUUCUAAGAUUUUUUAUUAAUAAUAGAUUGAUUUUGCUCUAAAAAUCUAAUUUGUUAGACCAAAAUAGAAAUAAGGCUCACUAAUUAUUUAAUUUCAAUUUUCUUUUUAACAUAAGUUUCUAAUAAAUUUAACAGCAUUCUAUUAUUAAAUAAUGUUUAGAUUAGUAUUUUCAAAUAAGAAAACAUAAGGAACUCGGCAAAUCUAUCUUCAACUGUUUAUCAAAAACAUAGCUAACUGUCAAAUUUCAUGGUUAGUUUUUUCUGCCCAGUGAGAAAUUUAACGGCCGCAGUACACUGACUGUGCAAAGGUAGCAUAAUAAAUUGGCUUUUAAUUGGAGUCUUGUAUGAAAGAAUAAAAUGGAGAAUAACUGUCUUAUGUUUUUUAUUAAUAAAUUACUUAGAAAGUGCAAAUACUUUCAAUCAUCUAUAAAAGACGAGAAGACCCUUUAAAUUUUUAAUAGGUUUAGACUUUAUCUCUAAUUUAUUUUUGUUGGGGCAACAAUUUAACAGAAACCUAAAUCUAAAUUAACUUCAAAAUAAAUGUAUCAAGUUUUACUAGUAAAAAAUAAAUUACUAUAGGGAUAACAGCAUAAUUUUUUAAUUAAGAUUGUGACCUCGAUGUUGGAUUAGGAAUCAUUUAGAUGAGUAAUUUAAAUGUUGGGUUCUGUUCGAACUUUUAAUUCCU